AUUGAACGCUGGCGGCAGGCCUAACACAUGCGAGUCGAGCGGAUGAAGGGAGCUUGCUCCUGGAUUCAGCGGCGGACGGGUGAGUAAUGCCUAGGAAUCUGCCUGGUAGUGGGGGAUAACGUCCGGAAACGGGCGCUAAUACCGCAUCCGUCCUGAGGGAGAAAGUGGGGGAUCUUCGGACCUCACGCUAUCAGAUGAGCCUAGGUCGGAUUAGCUAGUUGGUGGGGUAAAGGCCUACCAAGGCGACGAUCCGUAACUGGUCUGAGAGGAUGAUCAGUCACACUGGAACUGAGACACGGUCCAGACUCCUACGGGAGGCAGCAGUGGGGAAUAUUGGACAAUGGGCGAAAGCCUGGUCCAGCCAUGCCGCGUGUGUGAAGAAGGUCUUCGGAUUGUAAAGCACUUUAAGUUGGGAGGAAGGGCAGUAAGUUAAUACCUUGCUGUUUUGACGUUACCAACAGAAUAAGCACCGGCUAACUUCGUG
rnacentral:rRNA from 1 species